ACUGUCGUCAUCCUCGUAAUCAGCAUACUCGUUAUCUUCCUGAUCUUUUGAAGCUUUUGCCUUCCGACUUGCAUACUUGCUGGCAGAAACAGGCCUCGACUGCAGCUUUGAGCUAUAACCGCUUGAAGGGUUUGCAGCUCUGUAAUGUAAUGAGUCACUCUGAUCAUCACCAUCUUGUUCAUAAUAUUCAUCAGAUAACAUCUCAUCAGCCGGAACACUUCGACUCUUCCCCAUUUCUUUCUGCCUUCCUUCAUCUUCCGACUCCAACUGAUCUUCCCUACCAUCAGAUACCUCAUCAGAUUCCUCCUCAUUCUUAUACUCUGAUCCACUCUUCGACUCUUCACCAGAACCAGACCUACCUGAGGGGCCCAUCGGUUGACAAUCCUUCCAAAACCCAGAACCCCAUUUCCCAGACAAAUUAACUCCUCUUCCAGGCGGCACCUGAUCCUCUGCAGUUGUUUCCACUUCUACACCAACCUCAUCUUGUAACUGACCAUUAUCAUCAUUUUCACUCAGACUACCUUCCACUUCCUCGUUUCCUACAUCGUGAUGUAUUCCCUGCAUACUUUGUUCCCCUUGGCUUUUGUCAUCCAGCGUUACGGUUUCAUUCGAAUAAUUCCUAUAGAAAGCCAUACUGUGUCUUCACAUUAAUAUUUCUGUUGCUCUUAUCUUCCCAAAAAGGUAACUGCUUUCAAA
rnacentral:misc_RNA from 1 species